CCUACGGGAGGCAGCAGUGAGGAAUAUUGGUCAAUGGACGAGAGUCUGAACCAGCCAAGUAGCGUGAAGGAUGACUGCCCUAUGGGUUGUAAACUUCUUUUAUAUGGGAAUAAAACGUUCCACGUGUGGGAUUUUGUAUGUACCAUAUGAAUAAGGAUCGGCUAACUCCGUGCCAGCAGCCGCGGUAAUACGGAGGAUCCGAGCGUUAUCCGGAUUUAUUGGGUUUAAAGGGAGCGUAGGUGGAUUGUUAAGUCAGUUGUGAAAGUUUGCGGCUCAACCGUAAAAUUGCAGUUGAAACUGGCAGUCUUGAGUACAGUAGAGGUGGGCGGAAUUCGUGGUGUAGCGGUGAAAUGCUUAGAUAUCACGAAGAACUCCGAUUGCGAAGGCAGUUCACUGGACUGCAACUGACACUGAGGCUCGAAAGUGUGGAUAUCAAACAGGAUUAGAUACCCUAGUAGUC
rnacentral:rRNA from 1 species